rnacentral:tRNA from 1 species
GGGCGGUUAGCUCAGCUGGUUAGAGCACCUGCCUUACAAGCAGGGGGUCGCAGGUUCGAAUCCUGCACUGCCCACCA